CCUCCCCCCCGCGCCUCCGCCCUUGACUGUCGUGCGGCCACCGAUCGCCCGCCGGAGAAGGAAGGGUCAGAGGGGACGUAUUUUGGGCCUGGUCGGGGCCGCUUGACCCCCGCGCGGCGGACCCUUGUGGGUCCCGUUCGCUCCUCGGCGGCGCUGCGUCCUCGAGCGCCCGCGAUCUCGGCUCGAGAGGGGUCCCCUCGACGUGUGGGCCAGCGAGGGCCCCGGCGGUCAGGCGCCGGGGUCGGUCCCGCUCGCUCGAGUGAGCGUCUUCCCUCCGAGAUGGGGAAUUGGGGUUGGCGUGACCGGCCGGGUGUGCCUUGGUCGCUCGUCCCGACCGCCCCGAGGGGCUGGGGCGAAAACUCCCC
rnacentral:lncRNA from 1 species